rnacentral:rRNA from 1 species
AUGCACGCUGGCGGCGUGCCUCAUACAUGCAAGUCGCGCGAACAGACGAGGAGCUUGCUCCUCUGACGUUAGCGGCGGACGGGUGAGUAACACGUGGAUAACCUACCUAUAAGACUGGGAUAACUUCGGGAAACCGGAGCUAAUACCGGAUAAUAUAUUGAACCGCAUGGUUCAAUAGUGAAAGACGGUUUUGCUGUCACUUAUAGAUGGAUCCGCGCCGCAUUAGCUAGUUGGUAAGGUAACGGCUUACCAAGGCGACGAUGCGUAGCCGACCUGAGAGGAUGAUCGGCCACACUGGAACUAGGACACGGUCCAGACUCCUACGGGAGGCAGCAGUAGGGAAUCUUCCGCAAUGGGCGAAAGCCUGACGGAGCAACGCCGCGUGAGUGAUGAAGGUCUUCGGAUCGUAAAACUCUGUUAUUAGGGAAGAACAAAUGUGUAAGUAACUAUGCACGUCUUGACGGUACCUAAUCAGAAAGCCACGGCUAACUACGUG